UUAAAAAAGAUUCACCAAUAGAGAUCUACUCUUUCACUUUCAUUGGAGUAGAAGAGGCAUCGGUUCCUUCAUUCAAAUUUGCAUUAAUUUCUUGCAAAUUAGCAUAAACAGUUUUAUGUUUUUUGUCACUCACAAUUAUGUCGGUUUCCAUGCAAUCAGCUUUUGAAUGAUUGGUGGGAUUAAUUGCCGGCUCUGUAUUGGUGGAGAGGAGGAUCCUUUAAUUGCGGAAAGAGAAUUUAAUGGUUUUUAAAAACAGAAGUCAUCAAUUCCAUCCGUUUUUGUACGUCCACAAUGAUUGAGCCAUCAUUAAUUGGAUUAAUGAUGGAAUUAAUUCCUGUUCUGAAACCGUCAUUGUGUUCCUUGGUCGACGUCCGACAUGGCUUCAUGCUUGCUCCGUCUUCACGUAGCCAACUUGAACUACCACCUUGCAUUGACAUUCUUGUUACAGCACGAGGAUCACCACAGUGAAUAGAGUUUUCUUGAUGAUUGAGGUUAGCAUUACGACAAAGCAAGAGGCAGAUGUUAUGAUCGUUAGUAGGACUCAAGGUACGUUUAACCUGGCUGGAGGAGUUGUAUCACAAAUACAUUGCUUCUAGGUAAUUUGUAUGGGUUGUCAUGGCUUAUAUAUCUUCAUUAAAGCUAGUUAUCACCUUUGUUUCACUCA